UUUGGAUGUGGUGGUUCCAGAGUCGGGGUUUUGGGGGCGAGAUGAGCUUACGUUUUAUCCAACUGGCCCACAAAGUCCCUCUUCUGGAGCUCACGUUGGUCUG
rnacentral:miRNA from 1 species